AGAGUUUGAUCAUGGCUCAGAACGUACGCUGGCGGCACGCCUAACACAUGCAAGUCGAACGAAGUAGCAAUACUUAGUGGCAGACGGGUGAGUAACAUGUAGGUAUCUGCCCUUUGGCCUGGAAUAACACGAGGAAACUUGUGCUAAUACCGGAUAAGUCUUUACGGAGAAAGCUUUAUGCACCAUUGGAUGAGCCUGCACUUGAUUAGUUUGUUGGUGGGGUAAUGGCCUACCAAGACUGUGAUCAAUAGCUGAUUUGAGAGGAUGAUCAGCCACAUUGGGACUGAGACACGGCCCAAACUCCUACGGGAGGCAGCAGUGGGGAAUCUUGCACAAUGGAGGAAACUCUGAUGCAGCGAUGCCGCGUGAGUGAAGAAGGCCUUUGGGUUGUAAAGCUCUUUCGUCGGGGAAGAAAAUGACUGUACCCGAAUAAGAAGGUCCGGCUAACUUCGUGCCAGCAGCCGCGGUAAUACGAAGGGACCUAGCGUAGUUCGGAAUUACUGGGCUUAAAGAGUUCGUAGGUGGUUGAAAAAGUUGGUGGUGAAAUCCCAGAGCUUAACUCUGGAACUGCCAUUAAAACUUUUCAGCUAGAGUAUGAUAGAGGAAAGCAGAAUUUCUAGUGUAGAGGUGAAAUUCGUAGAUAUUAGAAAGAAUACCAAUUGCGAAGGCAGCUUUCUGGAUCAUUACUGACACUGAGGAACGAAAGCAUGGGUAGCGAAGAGGAUUAGAUACCCUCGUAGUCCAUGCCGUAAACGAUGUGUGUUAGACGUUGGAAAUUUAUUUUCAGUGUCGCAGCGAAAGCGAUAAACACACCGCCUGGGGAGUACGGCCGCAAGGUUAAAACUCAAAUGAAUUGACGGGGACCCGCACAAGUAGUGGAGCAUGUGGUUUAAUUCGAAGAUACGCGCAGAACCUUACCAACACUUGACAUGUUCGUCGCGACUCUAAGAGAUUAGAGUUUUCGGUUCGGCCGGACGAAACACAGGUGCUGCAUGGCUGUCGUCAGCUCGUGUCGUGAGAUGUUGGGUUAAGUCCCGCAACGAGCGCAACCCUCACUUUUAGUUGCCAUCAUUAAGUUGGGCACUCUGAAAGAACUGCCAGUGAUAAGCUGGAGGAAGGUGGGGAUGACGUCAAGUCCUCAUGGCCCUUACGUGUUGGGCUACACACGUGCUACAAUGGUAUCUACAACAGGAAGCAAAACGGCGACGUUAAGCAAAUCCUUAAAAGAUACCUCAGUUCGGAUUGCACUCUGCAACUCGAGUGCAUGAAGCUGGAAUUACUAGUAAUCGUGGAUCAGCGUGCCACGGUGAAUGCGUUCCCGGGUCUUGUACACACCGCCCGUCACACCAUGGGAGUUGGUUCUACCUUAAGGCAAGGUUUAAAACCCUUGACCACGGUAUAGUCAGCGACUGGGGUGAAGUCGUAACAAGGUAGCCGUAGGGGAACCUGCGGCUG
rnacentral:rRNA from 1 species